GACGAACGCUGGCGGCGUGCUUAACACAUGCAAGUCGAACGGAGUGGCGAACGGGUGAGUAUUACGUGAGUAACCUGCCCUCAACUGUGGGAUAAGCCUGGGACACUGGGUCUAAUACUGCAUAGUUGGGGAUGGGCUCGCUGCCUAUCAGCUUGGUGGGGGGGUGAUGGCCUACCAAGGCGGGGACGGGUAGCCGGACGGAGAGGGUGGUCGUGCACAUUGGGAGUGAGAGACGGCCAAGACUCCUACGGGAGGCAGCAUUGGGGGAUAUGGCACAAUGGGCGCAAGCCUGAUGCAGCGACGCCGCGUGAGGGAUGAAGGCUUUCGGGUUGUAAACCUCUUUCGGUACAGAACGGGUAUGUGCAGAAGAAGCGCCGGCUAACUACGUGCCAGCAGCCGCGGUAAUUC
rnacentral:rRNA from 1 species